rnacentral:rRNA from 5 species
AGAGUUUGAUCCUGGCUCAGGAUGAACGCUGGCGGCGUGCCUAAUACAUGCAAGUCGAGCGAACGGACGAGAAGCUUGCUUCUCUGAUGUUAGCGGCGGACGGGUGAGUAACACGUGGAUAACCUACCUAUAAGACUGGGAUAACUUCGGGAAACCGGAGCUAAUACCGGAUAAUAUUUUGAACCGCAUGGUUCAAAAGUGAAAGACGGUCUUGCUGUCACUUAUAGAUGGAUCCGCGCUGCAUUAGCUAGUUGGUAAGGUAACGGCUUACCAAGGCAACGAUGCAUAGCCGACCUGAGAGGGUGAUCGGCCACACUGGAACUGAGACACGGUCCAGACUCCUACGGGAGGCAGCAGUAGGGAAUCUUCCGCAAUGGGCGAAAGCCUGACGGAGCAACGCCGCGUGAGUGAUGAAGGUCUUCGGAUCGUAAAACUCUGUUAUUAGGGAAGAACAUAUGUGUAAGUAACUGUGCACAUCUUGACGGUACCUAAUCAGAAAGCCACGGCUAACUACGUGCCAGCAGCCGCGGUAAUACGUAGGUGGCAAGCGUUAUCCGGAAUUAUUGGGCGUAAAGCGCGCGUAGGCGGUUUUUUAAGUCUGAUGUGAAAGCCCACGGCUCAACCGUGGAGGGUCAUUGGAAACUGGAAAACUUGAGUGCAGAAGAGGAAAGUGGAAUUCCAUGUGUAGCGGUGAAAUGCGCAGAGAUAUGGAGGAACACCAGUGGCGAAGGCGACUUUCUGGUCUGUAACUGACGCUGAUGUGCGAAAGCGUGGGGAUCAAACAGGAUUAGAUACCCUGGUAGUCCACGCCGUAAACGAUGAGUGCUAAGUGUUAGGGGGUUUCCGCCCCUUAGUGCUGCAGCUAACGCAUUAAGCACUCCGCCUGGGGAGUACGACCGCAAGGUUGAAACUCAAAGGAAUUGACGGGGACCCGCACAAGCGGUGGAGCAUGUGGUUUAAUUCGAAGCAACGCGAAGAACCUUACCAAAUCUUGACAUCCUUUGACAACUCUAGAGAUAGAGCCUUCCCCUUCGGGGGACAAAGUGACAGGUGGUGCAUGGUUGUCGUCAG